GACGAACGCUGGCGGCGUGCUUAACACAUGCAAGUCGAACGGAAAGGCCCUGCUUUUGUGGGGUGCUCGAGUGGCGAACGGGUGAGUAACACGUGAGUAACCUGCCCUUGACUUUGGGAUAACUUCAGGAAACUGGGGCUAAUACCGGAUAGGAGCUCCUGCUGCAUGGUGUGGGUUGGAAAGUUGCGGCGGUUGGGGAUGGACUCGCGGCUUAUCAGCUUGUUGGUGGGGUAGUGGCUUACCAAGGCUUUGACGGGUAGCCGGCCUGGGAGGGUGACCGGCGACCAUAGGACUGCGGUACGGACCAGACGCCAACGGUGGACAACGGGGGGAAACCUGGCACAGUGAGAGCGAGUGUGUGAAGGAGGCGCCCCGGUCGUAAAGACAGCUUGUGGGGUGUAAACCGCUUUAGCUUAUGACGCAGCGGUAGUGACGGUAAUGAAUAAAGAAGCACCGGCUAACUACGUG
rnacentral:rRNA from 1 species